rnacentral:rRNA from 1 species
UACGUAGGCAGCGAGCGUUGUUCGGAGUUACUGGGCGUAAAGCGUGCGUAGGCGGUGGUCCAAGUCUGGUGUGAAAUCUCCCGGCUCAACUGGGAGGGUGCGCCGGAAACUGGGCCGCUGGAGUACGGGAGAGGCAAGCGGAAUUCCAGGUGUAGCGGUGAAAUGCGUAGAUAUCUGGAGGAACACCCGUGGUGCAGACGGCUUGCUGGACCGUGACUGACGCUGAGGCGCGAAAGCGUGGGGAGCAAACAGG